rnacentral:lncRNA from 1 species
CAAAUCUUAAUGGACAACUAGAAAAUCUUAAUGGAUUUUAUUUGAUUUUUUUUAUUAUUAAAAACUAAAUAAAUAAAACAAACCUUUUCACUUACUCUCUCUCACAAUUAAAGAAAAAAGCUGAAAUAAAAAGAAAUAAAAAUCUUGAAAAUACUCUUCUUUCUCCAAUGGUAAAAAAAAAAGAAAAGAAGAAAAAGAAAAUUAAAGAAAUGAUUCACACUCACGCAUCCCUCGGGACCACAAUAAUUUUCUCUCUACCCACCCAUUAAGGAGUGGCCACUUUUCCAAUUUAUGGCUGGCUGAAGGUGAAAAGGCAGAGGGAGAAAAAUUAAAGGAACCACUCUCUCACACGCGUCUUUCUCUUAUCUCUCC